UUAAAUUGAAGAGUUUGAUCAUGGCUCAGAUUGAACGCUGGCGGCAGGCCUAACACAUGCAAGUCGAACGGUAACAGGAAGAAGCUUGCUUCUUUGCUGACGAGUGGCGGACGGGUGAGUAAUGUCUGGGAAACUGCCUGAUGGAGGGGGAUAACUACUGGAAACGGUAGCUAAUACCGCAUAACGUCGCAAGACCAAAGAGGGGGACCUUCGGGCCUCUUGCCAUCGGAUGUGCCCAGAUGGGAUUAGCUAGUAGGUGGGGUAACGGCUCACCUAGGCG
rnacentral:rRNA from 2 species